ACUCAAAGGAAUAGACGGGGGCCCGCACAAGCGGUGGAGCAUGUUGUUUAAUACGUCACUAACCGUAGAACCUUACCAGGGCUUGACAUCCGUCGACCGUCGGUGAAAGCCGAUUUUCCCCGCAAGGGGACGGCGAGACAGGUGUUGCAUGGCUGUCGUCAGCUCGUGUCGUGAGAUGUUGGGUUAAGUCCCGCAACGAGCGCAACCCUCACCCCAUGUUGCCAGCGGAUCAUGCCGGGAACUCUUGGGGAACUGCCUGGGUAACCGGGAGGAAGGUGGGGAUGACGUCAAGUCAGCAUGGCCCUUACGCCCUGGGCUACAAACAUGCUACAAUGGGCGGCAGACAAAGGGAUCCGAGACCGCAAGGUGGAGGCAAUCUCAAAAAUCCGCCCCCAGUUCAGAUCGCAGGCUGCAACUCGCCUGCGUGAAGUCGGAAUCGCUAGUAACCGCAGAUCAGCUAAGCUGCGGUGAAUACGUUCCCGGGCCUUGUACACACCGCCCGU
rnacentral:rRNA from 1 species